CUACGGGGUGCACCAGCUAAGAAUCUUCCGCAAUGGACGAAAGUCUGACGGAGCGACGCCGCGUGAACGAUGAAGGCCGUGAGGUUGUAAAGUUCUUUUCGGGAGGAGGAAUAAGGUUUGUAGGAAAUGACAGACUGAUGACGUUAAUCCCGGAAUAAGCCCCGGCUAACUACGUGCCAGCAGCCGCGGUAACACGUAGGGGGCAAGCGUUGUUCGGAAUCAUUGGGCGUAAAGGGCGUGCAGGCGGUGUUGCAAGUCUGGCGUGAAAGAUCUCGGCUUAACCGAGGGAACGCGCUGGAAACUGUAAUAGUAGAGUACAGGAGGGGACAUUGGAAUUCCAGGUGUAGGGGUGAAAUCUGUAGAUAUCUGGAAGAACACCGGUGGCGAAGGCGAAUGUCUGGCCAUGUACUGACGCUGAGACGCGAAGGUGCGGGGAGCAAACAGGAUUAGAUACCCCUGUAGUC
rnacentral:rRNA from 1 species